CACACACACACACACAAAAUGCAAAUAAGUAAAUCAAUGAAACCAGAAUCUCCUCAGUGGGUGUCUCCAAGAUGCCUGGCUAUGCUCCUGGCCAUUGCUUCCUUGUGCAGUAUCAGCCUCUCCUCACACACACGGCGCUUCUGCCCACUCUUUCCUUACACCCCUGCUCGCUAUCUCCGUCUACCCCACACACCCGUCACUGCACACACCGCACACCACUCCACCCAAAUACACUCACACACCUGUACCCUUUGUCUCCUCACACACCAGACACCGAAAUUCAGUACCUCAUCUCCCACACCCCCCGUCCACGGUCUCAAGACCUGCCACAUCCCUGGUUACUUUAUCACACGCUCUGCUUCCCUGUUUAUGGUCGCCCCCACCAGCGCUGUCCAGCCCAGCCUAUUCUUUUGGUUUGGAUGGCAUCUGCGGAAUGUCUACCUCUGGUUCUUUCCAUCCUCCCACCUCUAGGAAUCUAUGCCUAGCCCUGCCUCCUCUGGAACUGCCCCUCCUCCUGCCAUUGACAGCAUCUCCUCUGAACUUCCUUUCUGGCAUAGGAAUGUUGACGGAGGACAGGAUCUGGAUAUCAUUCAGAUCUUUGUUCCCCAUACCCGGCUGAGAUCCUAUAAACGGUCAAAUGCUGGAAACAGUUAAGGCCAGAAUGCGUCGGGAAUGAUGUUGAUCGCUGAGUGGCCAGCUUUCUCUCUGGGAAAUGGACACAGACAGCGGGAGCUUUUACGGACAUAUGCAUCCAGCCUCAGGACUAAUGACUGGAAAGUCAACUUGAAACCACUGACUUUUCCCCUCUGCAUUAACUGCCAGAUGGAAUAUCAUAUCGGAACGAAUGACGUGUGACAAAGAAGUCAAGGUCCACACACUUAUCACACCUACAUGUACUGAUGAUAUUUAUGGUAUCUAAAGGCCUAUGAAGGCCAGAGCUAAGACCAGACCUUUUCAUGGCUGUGUUAAGAGGAAACUGUGGAAGCCCCGGUCUACAGUGACAGCAGCAGGUCUUCCAUGGGAGCAUCAGUGGCUUGCUUACCUGCU